CCCGGGGGGCAGCAGUGGGGAAUAUUUGGCAAUGGGCGCAAGCCUGACCCAGCAACGCCGCGUGAAGGAAGAAGGCUUUCGGGUUGUAAACUUCUUUUAAGAGGGAAGAGCAGAAGACGGUACCUCUUGAAUAAGCCACGGCUAACUACGUGCCAGCAGCCGCGGUAAUACGUAGGUGGCAAGCGUUGUCCGGAUUUACUGGGUGUAAAGGGCGUGCAGCCGGGCCGACAAGUCAGAUGUGAAAUCCGCGGGCUUAACCCGCGAACUGCAUUUGAAACUAUUGGUCUUGAGUACCGGAGAGGCAGACGGAAUUCCUAGUGUAGCGGUGAAAUGCGUAGAUAUUAGGAGGAACACCAGUGGCGAAGGCGGUCUGCUGGACAGCAACUGACGCUGAGGCGCGAAAGCGUGGGGAGCAAACAGGAUUAGAUACCCGUGUAGUC
rnacentral:rRNA from 1 species